GGUUGGAUUCCCCUUUAACAGAGAUUGAAGCUUUUGUUCUAGUUUUGGCUCUGCUAUUUUUUUGAUUGGAUGUAUUUCCUGAUUUAUCACAAUAAUUGCAAGUUUUAUCAUGAUUUAACUUUUUGAAAAUUAUGCUAUUAUGUGAUUAAGGCUACAUCUCUUGUACUUUCUACCGAUAGUCUCAAUAUAACGUUAUUAAUGGAUUAUUUCUUGUAAAAAAUCCUAAAGAUAGGAACUAACUCUGUGGUUAGUAGAUAAAUAUGACUCACUUGUCCAGGUGUUGAUAAACGGGCCGCUGCUGAGUAGGCCUAGAGUUUUCUUAAUUAUAUAUAAUUGAUUUCAUGACAUGUGUUUACAUUUGCUGCAGAUUCCCAUUCAGCCGUUGGACUGAACUGGUACUGUAACACAGUAUGGAUGGUCAAUAUGAAGCAAGCUUCAUCGAAUUCCUCCAAGAGCUCUGAACUCUGUUCUGAUCAUUUUGAAGAUGCUUGCUUUGACAGGACUGGGCAAACGAUUCGUCUAAGACAGGAUGCUGUCCCAACCACAUUUAAUUUGCCGCCUCGUCAUCAGAAGAAUGCACACAAACCAGGGAAACCCUCGAAAGAAAGUCAUUUAGAUUCAGCAAGCAACCUCCCAGAUACUGCAAAGACACCUGUACCAAAGUCUUCAGCACCUUCCCUGGGACUACUACUCAAUGCCAAAAUCUAAGAGGGGUAAAGUGGAAGAUAACAGCAACAUAUAUCUAAAUGGGAUGGAGACCAGCAGCAUGGCAGCAGGAGCUAAUGUUGGUCGUGAUGAGGCAUAUACCACCAUCAACAAUGCUGCAAUUGCAGUCACCACCACCAAGUCUGCUUCUGUCACUGCCAUCACCAUUGCCACCGCCAUUACCAAGACCACUCCUGACACAAAGCCCCCAAGUCCUCAACUGACCAGAUAUUGCAGCUGGAGAAGGAUAUACCAGGAACUUCAAAGCCAGGGCUUGCCAGUCUCCUACAAUAAGAAAAAUGCCAUGGGCCCAUCUAAUGAACUAGUAGUAGAAUAUUUGGCCACAGUUGUAGAAAUGCAGAGACUAACAUACUGCCACAGGUGAGGUUUUGUCCACAGUUCCAGAAGGACACAAAAUAGUAUCAGAAAGUCAUGCCAGAAUCAACAACUGAAGGGUUUGAAGAGCCAGAUAAAGAGCCGAGAAAUGUGAUUUUAAAGGUACUUCAAUCACAUGCACAGUAGGAGCAAAAACAG